rnacentral:rRNA from 1 species
GAUGAACGCUGGCGGCGUGCCUAACACAUGCAAGUCGAACGAAGGUUUCCGCUUCGGCGGAGCCUUAGUGGCGGACGGUGAGUAACGCGUGGGUAACCUGCCCUAUACAGGGGAACAACAGCCGGAAACGGCUGCUAAUACCGCAUAAGCGCACAGUACCGCAUGGUACAGUGUGAAAAGAUUAUAUCGGUAUAGGAUGGACCCGCGUCUGAUUAGCUAGUUGGAGGGGUAACGGCCCACCAAGGCAACGAUCAGUAGCCGACCUGAGAGGGUGACCGGCCACAUUGGGACUGAGACACGGCCCAAACUCCUACGGGAGGCAGCAGUGGGGAAUAUUGCACAAUGGGCGCAAGCCUGAUGCAGCAACGCCGCGUGAGUGAAGAAGUAUUUCGGUAUGUAAAGCUCUAUCAGCAGGGAAGAAAAUGACGGUACCUGACUAAGAAGCCCCGGCUAACUACGUG